rnacentral:misc_RNA from 1 species
GUAUUGAUUGCGUGUGACCGCAAAAACAAAACAUUCUAGACUGUAUCGAAUUUUGUGUGAAAACGCGAGCCUCCUCCGAGAUGAUCCCAAAGGGUGCCCACGCGGUGAUGCACAAAGGGUGAGAUGGAUUAUUAUGUGAGGAAACACACCCGGGCGUGCACGACAUUGAGUCAGCGACAGCCCUUGCAUGCCCCUCACAUUUUGUACGAUAAUGAUCCUUCCGCAGGUUCACCUACGGAAA